GACGAACGCUGGCGGCGUGCUUAACACAUGCAAGUCGAACGGAAAGGCCCUACUUUUGUGGGGUGCUCGAGUGGCGAACGGGUGAGUAACACGUGAGUAACCUGCCCUUGACUUUGGGAUAACUUCAGGAAACUGGGGCUAAUACCGGAUAGGAGCUCCUGCUGCAUGGUGGGGGUUGGAAAGUUUCGGCGGUUGGGGAUGGACUCGCGGCUUAUCAGCUUGUUGGUGGGGUAGUGGCUUACCAAGGCUUUGACGGGUAGCCGGCCUGAGAGGGUGACCGGCCACAUUGGGACUGAGAUACGGCCCAGACUCCUACGGGAGGCAGCAGUGGGGAAUAUUGCACAAUGGGCGGAAGCCUGAUGCAGCAACGCCGCGUGCGGGAUGACGGCCUUCGGGUUGUAAACCGCUUUCGCCUGUGACGAAGCGUGAGUGACGGUAAUGGGCAAAGAGGCACCGGCUAACUACGUG
rnacentral:rRNA from 1 species